AGGACGAACGCUGGCGGCGUGCUUAACACAUGCAAGUCGAACGGUAAGGCCCCUUCGGGGUACACGAGUGGCGAACGGGUGAGUAACACGUGAGCAACCUGCCCUUGACAUUGGAAUAACAGUUGGAAACAGCUGCUAAUACCGGUAUGACCUUUCAUCGCAUGGUGGGGGUGGAAAGCCUUGGCGGUCAAGGAUGGGCUCGCGGCCUAUCAGCUAGUUGGUGAGGUAAUGGCUCACCAAGGCUUCGACGGGUA
rnacentral:rRNA from 1 species